UGCCCUUUCGUCUACGUGGCUAGGACACUGCCCUUUCACGGCAGAAAAGGGGGUUCAAGUCCCCCAAGGGUCA
rnacentral:tRNA from 1 species